GGGGUCUUCCGCUUGGAGCAUCUGUCCCGGGUCAGGACUUAGGGACCCCAGGGACAAGAUCGCGAGAUGCAAGAUUAGGUCCUCACUGAAUGCCUGUCCUGAGGUCCUAGGAAGUGGCCAACCCAGUGGAAACUUGUUCUCAGGGCGAGGCCAUAGCUAUCUGAAAGCUAUCCCCUUUCUUUCUCCUUUUGCUUUAGAGGCUGAGACUUGACAAGGACUCUGGGAGAGAAAAGGUUCAGGAAUCUCUUGAUUUCCCCACUCCUGACUCUCCAAGUGACUAUGAUAUGUAUACCCCAAAUCUGAGUGAGAGCUAGGAAUCCUGCUGAGUCCCCACACUUUUGGAAACAUGAAGGUAUGAGGUCAUGCAGCCAAUUGGAACCCAAACCUGGGUAUGGUAGCUGAGGUGAUUGCUAGCAGGUGAAAUAGCUUUUCAGUCAAACCAUAUGGUAAAUUUGCUAAAGUUCCUGCUUAAUCAGAUUUAACUGUUUGAAAAUCACAUCAUUUUACUGCUAUGCUAAUGUAUCUUACUCCUUCCUGAUAUGAAGUAUUUUCUGGGGUGGCCUCAGAGUCACCAACCACACACUGUAUUUGCAACUUGUAAAUGCUUCUCCUUGCCUACAAGGCACAUCCACACAUUUCCCCCUCCCCCUAACACAGAAUAGUGUCACUGCUGGGUGAAUGAGCCCAGGUUUUCUUGGCAGGAAUCGCUCUGUGUCCUGAUCAUUUGGCCCAUGGAAGUGUUAAAGGAGGGUGGGAUCAACAGCAGCUACUUUAGACUUCUGGCUUUGUCAAGAUGGUAAGAAGUUUCUAGAAGGCUAGUAAUUAUAGACUUGGGGGGGGGGAAAGUAUUAAGGUAAUUCUCUUCAAAAGAAGUAUGGCUCUGGGGGUUGGGGAUUUAACUCAGUGGUAGAGCGCUUGCCUAGCAAGCUCGAGGCCCUGGGUUCGUUCGGUCCCCAGCUCCGGAAAAAAAAGAAAAAAAGAAAAAAAGAAAAAAAGAAAAAAAAAAAAAAGAAGUACAGGCCCAAGGCAUAUAUGGCUGCCAGUAUCUAGUAUUAAGAAUGCUCACACUGAACUUUUAAAUGCUACAAGGAGAAGGAACUGGUGGCCAGUUGGUGAGGGAAGAAAGAGCUAAGAAAAUCCUGGGUGCCCUGCAUGGGGAUAUAUUUAAACAUUCGUGGGAAGAAAAGGCUUGACAUCUGUGUCCUCCCCUGCUGGCCUCUAAAUAGCCCUUGAUGCAUGUAUUAAGUUCUUGCCCCCUCGUAGCUACUGUCCUUUGCCCUGGCUUUGAUCAGGUAAACCAGAUCAUCUUUUUUUUUUUUUUUUUUAAUAUAGUGAAAGGCAGACUGUAAGACAAAAGAUUCUUGGAAUUUUUUGUAGAGUACUGCCAUUCAUAGACAGUCAGUGAAUUCUCCACAAGCCCGUUCCUGUUUUACCCAGUGCCUGUGUACUGACCCUGUGUGUAAGUUUAUGCUGAUAGCUUUGUUUGCUUACAGAUUUGUUUGUGAUUUUUUUAAAACUCCUUUUAUUUUACUAGUGUAAUGAAUGGUACGAAUGAUAUGAAAUGGAAACUAGUGAUUAUUUUUAUGGUUGUUUGCAAAUUGAAUAAAUUGCAGUCUGUUUACGCUUUAAGAUUAGUGAGUGUCAGCGAUUUUUCAACGCAUUCUUGUUUGUGUCCCUUCCUUCAUUCACUCAGUGGGAGUGGGAAGCAUGGGCAAGCUUUCAGACACUCCUGGGAGGAAGUGGGGAAUAGUACAUUAGGAUGCCUUUAGCAAGGUUAAGGUCCAGAGGGGUAGCAAGACAGGGCUGAGAAGGUCAGAAUUAACUUUUAUACACAUCGACUAAGCCUACGGAAAUCCAUAGCCGUAGUCAGGCGGUGGUGGUGCCUGCCUUUACUCCCAGCACUCAGGAGACAAAGGCAGGCAGAUCUCUGGGUUCGAGGCCAGGCUUGUGUACAGGGUGAGUUCCAGGCAGACAGGGCUACACAGAGAAACUCUGUCUGGAAAAACCAAAAAAAAAAAAAAAAAAAAAAAGAAAUACUCAAUUCCACAGGUAUACGGUAUAUGUCUUAAUUCCACUUAGAAUAUUCAAAAGGCUGCAUUGAAAGGGUGAUUGCAUUUUCAUAAUAUAAUAUUUCAAUCACAACUCACAUCACUUCUCCCCCCCGCCACCCCACCCCUGAGCUGAGGACCAGGGCCUUGGCUUACUAGGCAAGGGCUCUACCACUGAGCUAAAUCCCCAACCCCCUCACAUCACUUCUUGGUUGAGCAAAUAUUAAAGUGGAUGCUCAUCUGGAGCCCUGAGGUUAAACAGCCUACCUGCCCAAUCCCUCCAGGUUUUAUCUCCGUUGGCCCCAUCAUGGUUCAUGAAAUAGACUUCAUUCAGGGAGGACACAGUGCAGGUGGACAGCAUCUGGUGGGUCUUGAGUUUUUUUCUGACUGCAGACCUUUAAGAAAUCUGUCAACACUCAGAUGUUUAAUCUAAAGAUCUUUCAUCUGAGCUGAGGGUGUGGCCCAGAGGGAGAGCAAGCUUUGCAUGCACAAGGCCCUGUGUUCUAUCCCUUACAGGCAAAAUUACCUCUCAUGAAAUGUCCUCUGUGGCAUGUAUGUCUCUGGUUCUUCCUGGCUUCUCUCUGUCAGCAUCUCUUCUUUUUGUUAAAAGAAUUAAUUUACCACCCUGCCUGAGUCAACUAGUUGGCUUUUCUGUUUCCUUUUACUAGGAAAAGAUUUACAAUGUUUCUAGGUAAAGUGAAAUAAAUGUAUUCCUCCUUCCCCUUCCCCUUCCCCUUCCCCUUCCUUCCUUCUUACCUUCCCUUUCCUUUCCCUCCCCGUCUUCCUUCCCUGCAUGUAUGUAUGUGUGAGGCUGCCAAACCCCUGGAACUGGAGUUACAGAGAGUCAGGAGCUGAGCAUUAAACCCAGAUCCCCUGAGAGAGCAGUCAGUGCUCUUUAACUGUUGAUCUAUCUCUCCACUGGCCUCCUCUCUUAGAAGUUGGAGUUGUGAAUCAAUGUAGGGCUACAGAACUCUGGACAAUGUUAGGAUUCUAUCACUUUAUAGUAUAUUGUAUUGUAUUAUUUUCCUCUGGACUGGUGAUUUUUAUCCUUUAGCACUCAUCUUUGGAAGACUUACCCUUGACGUCGUGUCUGUUCAAGGAAAGCUUUUGCAUCGUCUGUUGAAAGACAAUACCUGCAGUUUGGCUCCAAUUCAACAAUCAUUUUCAUUUCUUUCUUUCUUUUUUUUUCUCGGCGCUGGGGACCGAACCCAGGGCCUUUCGCUUGCUAGGCAAGCGCUCUACCGCUGAGCUAAAUCCCCAGCCCCAAAUUCAACAGUCAUUUACUGUAAAAAGAUAGGAUUUCAGUUGCUUGCCAUGAAUAGCCACAUGUCUCAGCCUUCCAUUCCUUUCACUGGCAGGCAGAAAGGCCAUUUGAUAUAGAAAAUGACGUUUCAGUUGUUACUUUUGCUAACCAGAUCACUACUAGCCCAUGGAUGUGAUGUAUAGGUUGGAGAUUAGUGUGAGAUUAAAUAAGACAGUCAUUCUUUGUUUUGUUGUGUUGUGUUGUAUUAUGUUGUGUUUUUUGAGACAGGGUUUCUCUGUGUUUCCUGGCUGUCUUGGAAGUCAUUUUGUUGACCAGGCUGACCUAGAACUCACAAAAAUUCUCCUGCCUCUCCCAGACAUUCUAUAGAAUGGAACUUUGUGUCACCAAUCUCAUUAGCAUGUGUCCAAUCCAACUUCCCUCCUUUGUCAUGUGACAAUUAUUCUCAGGUUUUCCUUCAUGGACAGUAGAGUACUGAAAGCAUUCAGGAGGACCAGUUUGUCAAUAAGCAAGUGUCUUCUGUCAUUUCCAAAAGGAGUGUGAGCUAGGCAGUGAGGGGUAUGUGAGCAUCAUUCUUCCCUUCUCUCCAACUGUAGGUGAUGGAGGCGCCCUAUCAGAGAAAGUUUAAUUAGAGUUCUAACCCCAUUUGACACUCUGACCCUGCAGGGAGUACUAGUUAUGGUUACUAACUCAGGUCUUACUGAUUGCUCAUCAAAGGUAAACUUACCAGUGCUGGGUACAGAGAAUGCCUCAGCGGGUAAAGUGCUUGCUGGGGGAACAUGAAGAUCUGAGUUUGGACUCCCAGCAUCCAUAGAACAGCCUGGGACCACUGAGACAGGAUGAUCCCUGGGACUCACUGGCUGGCCAGUCUCAUCAAACUGGUGGUCAGUGUGAUAUCUCAUUUCAAAAACUAGGAUAGAGAGAGCAAUGCAAGAAGACGCUUGAUGUCACCCCGUGACUCCCAUGUACGCAUACGUGUGCACACAAGUACACGUACACAUAAAUAAUACACACAUUAAUACAUAAGCAAGUAGCUUAGUAAAUGUCAGACGAAACACAGAGGUUAGCAACAUAUGCCUUGCUAGAAAUACAUUGGGAUGCCAUCUGCAGGGACUGCUGGGGGAAGAGUGCUUAAUUAGGUGGUACAAAGCACACAGACACCAUGAAUUCUGUGGGCCUUGCUAAUUCAACCAGGCAGAGAAAUCCCACGGGUCAUGUUACUUGGUCCUUCUGUGACAAGAGAGACGUACUCCUUUCCCACCUACACUUUCCUUUGUCCUUCUUGAAGUCUCCUUUACCCUGGUGAUCCUCCAGUCCAGAGGCAAUGCUCACACUGAAGACUAAUUUCUGUCUAAAACUCCUCAUUAUUCUUUACAGUCAGCUAUAGUUCUUCCAAGCUGGCUGGAUUGCUCAGUGGUAAUGGCACUUGAAGAGAAACCUAAUAGCCUAAGUUUGUUAUCUGGGUAUGAGGAGAGAAUUUACUCCUGAACAUUGUCCUCUGACCUCUAUAGCAGCACUGUUGUAAGUCCACACACUAAAUAAAUAAAUGUAAUUUUUAAAGAUUAAGAAGGAAAAACAAAACAAAACAAAACAGAAAUAGUCCUUGCCAGGACAGAAGCCAUGACAGGAAAGCAAAACAGCCACUGAACACUUAAGGUGAUCCUGAGAAACAGAAAGGACCCUCAGAGGACUGGUCACUGAUCUUCCUCCCUUGUCACUGCUGUUACAGCCUGUGCUGGUCACACAGCCUGCAAAGGCACCUUCUAGAAAGCCCACUCACUACCUUGCUUCCUCACCUAGUCUCAUCAUAUAGGAGCAAUCCCCCCACCCGCCCACCCACCCCUCCAGCCCCGCCCCCAGUGGUGCUUUUCUUACUUGUCCCUUUAACAAGCUCUGUGAAGAAACGAAGGCUGGAACUGUUUCCCUGUCCAAUUUAGUAUACGAUGGGAAUAAUUGUGGCUUGUCUAUGUUAAGUCUCAUGCUUCUUAAUGGAUGGCCACAGAAAUAUGCCGGACUUAGUGAAAUGGUAUGAAAACGUGUACGUCUCUUACCCCCCCCCCCUUCAUUGACACAUCAAAUGUGCUGUGUUACGUGCUAGGGCCAAAAGUGGGACAUCUCUGUUGCUUAUAGAGCUUCCUGUCUAGGAGGGGCUAGAGAUGCGCUCAGUACUCACCCACAUAGAGUAGAACUGCCGCUGUGGUAAGAGCUGCGGGAAAGCGGCAUACGGUGUUCAGAGAGGCUGAGAAAAGACUGCUGAACUGAGCCUUGAAUAAGGUUGGAGCGAACCAGGCAGAGCAAACAGCUCCUGCACGGGCCAGCGGCUGCCCCGGAAUGCAGAGUGAACUCUAGCCACCUCCUGAAACCUGGGCAUUAAGUGCAGAAUCAAGGCAUGGCAGCAGGAAGCUGGCGGGGAGGGCUGCUGCAUGGCGGGUACCAAAAGGACCCCUUAGUAGAUGGAGACUAAGCCAAAUUCUGAGGUUGGUGAGUAGAGAGAGCAUGGCUCUCAUCCUGCAGUCAUGCUCCCUGUCCCAGAGACCCACAGUCUGGGCAGACCUUGUAGAAUGUAUAGAGUGUUGUUUUUACUAAAGGUAUGAGAAGCAAGAAAGUGCCUGGGUGUGUUCAUAAUUGCUGUGAGCCCCUGACUGGGUAAACACCACAGGAAAACCUCAGAGAGUAAACAGACCUUCUGCUCCCUUUCCUUGUGAGUCAGGCUUUUCCGGAACCACACCAGAAACAGCUUCUGGGUUAGAAGUCAGCGUGAGGCUGUUUCUGCUUAGGAAACACUUCUGGGCCUUGUGGGUCCUACUUGGUGUGACUAAAUUUACCAAAUGUUCUUGUGCUGCUCUGAACCCUCCGCUUUCUUUCUUUCUUCCUUUCUUCCUUUCUUUCUUUCUUUCUUUCUUUCUUUCUUUCUUUCUUUCUUUUUUUGGUUCUUUUUUUUUUUUUUUCCAGAGCUGGGGACCGAACCCAGGGCCUUGCGCUUCCUAGGCAAGCGCUCUACCACUGAGCUAAAUCCCCAACCCCAACCCUCCGCUUUCUUUAAUUGCACUGGCAGCUCUGCAGUUGGUGGCCUUGGGCAUGUACACUGACUUCCUUAACUCACUUCCUUGUGAACUAAGGGGGUUUGCAAGAUCCUCCUACCUCUAGAACUUGGUGAUUGGGUGGGAGUUUUCUCCCUCAGCAGUGUAUACUGAUGCUGUAGAUCUGGCCAGCAGCACUGUGAGGACAAUGUUGGGAUGUAUUUCACUACAGAGCCACCUUUCUUCAGACUUCUCUCUCUCCCUUCCCCC